UUUAUUUAUUUGUUUAUUGAUUUUGAUUUUUUAUUUGUGUCCACUCUUAUUACGCCUAAGGGUACUAUUCUUAUGCUUCUUUACAAGAUUUAUAGAUUUAUUUUUCAUCAUGAUUGCAUUUAACUAAUGAAAAAAAGUUACAGUGUAAAAAAAAAAAAUGCAUUAAUUUUAUUUAGCAUCGUUAUAAAUUUUUUUUUUUUUAUACAUUAAUACGUGGUAUGUAAUUGAUAAGUAUAUACUUUUACACCUUUUUUUUUUUGUUUUUUUUAACCUCAAUUCAAUUUAAGUCUUUCUUUCUUUCAUUCAUUCUUUAUUUUUUUUUUUUUUUUUUUUUNNNNNNNNNNNNNNNNNNNNNNNNNNNNNNNNNNNNNNNNNNNNNNNNNNNNNNNNNNNNNNNNNNNNNNNNNNNNNNNNNNNNNNNNNNNNNNNNNNNNUUAAAUUUUUUUCUAUGUUAUUUUAUUAUUUUUUUUUUUUUUUGCUGACCUAUUACCUACUGUGUUCGGUAUAAUGAUACCAUAUUAAAUAAUACCAUACAAUUUAAAGUCCAAUCCAAUCCUGUUCUUUUUUUUUUUAUUUUUUAUUUUUAGCUAGCUUAUAUAUAGAAAAGCCAAAAGCAUUCUCCAAAAAUGUUAUUACUAAAAAAAGAACAUGAUGACAGACAAAAACGAUUAGAACAUAUAAUAAAAAAAGAAUAUUAUUAUAACGAAGGUACAUUAGAUGAUUAUGAAAAGAAUGUUACAGAUGUUGUACUAUCAAAAUAUAAAUAUAUGUCGAGUGAAAAAUGUGAAUGCUUAAAAUGUGAAUAUAUUAUAUUAAUUGUAACUGAGUACAUUAAAAAAAAAUGUAAAAUAGAUAAAUAUGUAUUAGCAUAUCAAGAAUUAUAUAAAAACAUUGAACAGUAUAUUGAUCUGAUUAAGACAAAAUCAGAUAUUGAUAUAAUUGUUGAUAAUAUUAUACAAAAAAUGAAUGGUAGAACAAUGUCAGACUAUUGUGAUGAUAAUGGAAAGAGUUUUAGAAAGCAUUUUAACGAUAAUUAUGAUAAUAGUUAUAACAACAAUCACAACAGUUACAACAACAAUCACAACAGCGGCAUUGAUUACAUCGGUAGCGUGUUAAAAAUAAAAAAUAAAGAAAAUUUAUGCAAAACAAAGAUAAAUGACAUAGAAAUGGAAACAUAUACUAUUUCAGUUAUAAUAAAAAUAAAUACAAAAAUAUUAAAAUCUGUUCCUAUGUUAAAAAAUGUUUUUGAAACAUUAAAGAGUGAUAGUUAUAAUAAUUAUUACAUUAAUAACAGGGUAGGCGUUAUAGAAAACAUGAGAAAUAAAAUUUAUAAUUAUUUAAAAAAAAAAAAUCAAACGAAUAACAUAAAUAUGAAUUUAAUGUUUAAUGAAAAGAAGAACCAUCGAAAUUUUUUCUAUCCUGAUAAUUAUACCAAUAUUAUCAAUAGUGAUGUUAUUACUAUUAAUUCUUGUCCGACCGAACGUACUAAAGAAAGCAGAAAAGGGAUAGGUGAUAUAAAAAAUACAACAUAUAAUAAUACAAAAAUAAUAAAUUUAGAUAGACAAUGUAAUGAUAAUUGUUUAUUAACUAAAAAAGAUGAGCUUCCUAUUACUUUUUAUGAAAUAAACAUUACAACAAAUAAAAAUUUGAUAAGUAUAAAAAGUAUUAUAAUGUUGAUCGAACUUGUUAAUUUGUUUUACUCUUACUUUGUUAAGCAUGUGAUAGAAAUAGAUUCGUCAGGGGAAGGGAUAGAUGCAGGAGGAGAAACAAAAACAAAUGCACAAAAAAAAAAUGAAAGAAAUGAAAGAAAUGAAAGAAAUGAAAGAAGUGAAAGAAGUGAAAGAAGUGAAAGAAGUAAAAGAAGUGUAGAAGAAGGAAACGUAAAAAGCAGUAAUUAUAUGAGUUCCCAAAAUUUAAGAAAUAAAAAUAUUUACUGUGACGAGUACAAUAUUUUACUUUUUUACAGUAUUAUUUUAGGAAAAAUUAGAAAAAGAAAAAAAAAAAAAAAAAAUCAGUUAUUACAAUAUAAUGUAUCUCGAAAUUUGUCAGGUACGUUAAAAAACGAAAAAAAUAAAAAAUAUAUAAAAAAUGAGAACAGAUGUAAUAACAAUAUUAACAAUA
ensembl:lncRNA